rnacentral:rRNA from 1 species
GCGGCGGACGGGUGAGUAACACGUGGGUAACCGCCUGUAAGACUGGGAUAACUCCGGGAAACCGGAGCUAAUACCGGAUAGUUCCUGAACCGCAUGGUUCAAGGAUGAAAGACGGUUUCGGCUGUCACUUACAGAUGGACCCGCGGCGCAUUAGCUAGUUGGUGGGGUAAUGGCUCACCAAGGCGACGAUGCGUAGCCGACCUGAGAGGGUGAUCGGCCACACUGGGACUGAGACACGGCCCAGACUCCUACGGGAGGCAGCAGUAGGGAAUCUUCCGCAAUGGACGAAAGUCUGACGGAGCAACGCCGCGUGAGUGAUGAAGGUUUUCGGAUCGUAAAGCUCUGUUGUUAGGGAAGAACAAGUGCGAGAGUAACUGCUCGCACCUUGACGGUACCUAACCAGAAAGCCACGGCUAACUACGUGCCAGCAGCCGCGGUAAUACGUAGGUGGCAAGCGUUGUCCGGAAUUAUUGGGCGUAAAGGGCUCGCAGGCGGUUUCUUAAGUCUGAUGUGAAAGCCCCCGGCUCAACCGGGGAGGGUCAUUGGAAACUGGGAAACUUGAGUGCAGAAGAGGAGAGUGGAAUUCCACGUGUAGCGGUGAAAUGCGUAGAGAUGUGGAGGAACACCAGUGGCGAAGGCGACUCUCUGGUCUGUAACUGACGCUGAGGAGCGAAAGCGUGGGGAGCGAACAGGAUUAGAUACCCUGGUAGUCCACGCCGUAAACGUUGAGUGCUAAGUGUUAGGGGGUUUCCGCCCCUUAGUGCUGCAGCUAACGCAUUAAGCACUCCGCCUGGGGAGUACGGUCGCAAGACUGAAACUCAAAGGAAUUGACGGGGGCCCGCACAAGCGGUGGAGCAUGUGGUUUAAUUCGAAGCAACGCGAAGAACCUUACCAGGUCUUGACAUCCUCUGACAACCCUAGAGAUAGGGCUUUCCCUUCGGGGACAGAGUGACAGGUGGUGCAUGGUUGUCGUCAGCUCGUGUCGUGAGAUGUUGGGUUAAGUCCCGCAACGAGCGCAACCCUUGAUCUUAGUUGCCAGCAUUCAGUUGGGCACUCUAAGGUGACUGCCGGUGACAAACCGGAGGAAGGUGGGGAUGACGUCAAAUCAUCAUGCCCCUUAUGACCUGGGCUACACACGUGCUACAAUGGACAGAACAAAGGGCUGCAAGACCGCAGGUUUAGCCAAUCCCAUAAAUCUGUUCUCAGUUCGGAUCGCAGUCUGCAACUCGACUGCGUGAAGCUGGAAUCGCUAGUAAUCGC